AUCCGGCUGACGAGUCCCAAAUAGGACGGAAUGCGCGUCCUGGAU
rnacentral:hammerhead_ribozyme from 1 species